AAAUGUAUCUCUAGUCGCAAAAGUUUAUCCGCCAUUAUUAGCCUACAUGCUAAGCUAGCUUUGUUGCUAACUCCUGUCGAGAGGACGUCCAGCCGACUAGAAGAACUUUGAUUAAUAUUCGUUUUUGCUUUGGUGACCUGGGGCUACACUACGCGCCCAUGAUGUCAUGUGGGGCGGAGUCAGCGAUGGACAGACGAGGAAGUUUUCCCUCCAAAGUUCUUCUGAAGCGCUGAUGGCCGCACCUUUCCCAUCUGGACCCUCAAACUCUAUUAGGUAAACUCCUCGAAGCCCGGCAUGCCUGCGGCGAGAGGCGAAGAACGGGAAGUGAGAGGUUGACGGGUGACGACGAGGAAGAGGAGAAGAGGCGGCCACCUUUGACCGGGUAACGUCGCUUGAUCAUCUCCUGCAGUGGGAGCAGGUAGGCCGUCAGACCGAGCCUCCUCGUCCCAAACUUGGUCACAACCGGGAUCCAUCCAAAGUGGCGACGUCACUGCUGAAUAUCCCAGAAAGCAGGUUGCUGUUGGACGGCGUGAAGGUGACUCUCUGAAGCAGUCGACCGGAAACAUCGUAAACAAUGCGCUACAUUAUGUUCGUCUGCACUGUAAGCUGUACUUACAGUGGUGUAGUUGGUCCUCAGGCACCUCAGAGUCACGUAGUGUUUGUAAAAGUCACUUUGGGUCACGCCCUCCACCACCACCACAUUGAUGCCUUCCACACUCCCGGACAGGCGACACCAACUAAAAGAAAGACAAAUAGAUGAAGCAGGCGAUGAUAACCUGGGCUGUUUUAUGCGGUUUGUUCCCCGCAGAGCAGCGUAAUGCAGUAGCUCCGUCAGCUCCUCCCCCGAGAUAGGACGCUGGAGGUGGUCGGGCAGCACGGACAUCGCCGGCCCACGUUCCCCAUUUUCACCGACUUCAUCUUGCUUUCCGUUGAGCCUCUUAGCCGACCCAUGACGUGUGUCGCUUUUCCUUUUCUGUCCCUUUAAUGGCGCUGAUGUUGAGGACUCCAUGUUAGAGCAGGCCCUUGUGCUGGAUAGUAAACACAAAAUUAAUUUGCAAAGAAUUUAAUUGAUGCAUAACUUUUCAGCUACCACUAUAUAUAUACCGGUAUAUAUAUGUGUGUAAGUAUAUAUCCAUCCAUCCAUUUUCUACCGCUUAUCCCUUUUGGGGUCGCGGGGGGUGCUGGAGCCUAUCUCAGCUGCAUUUGGGCGGAAGGCGGGGUACACCCUGGACAAGUCGCCACCUCAUCGCAGGGCCAACACAGAUAGACAGAUAAC